AAAGUUCCGGCGGUUAUAGAUGGGCAUGCGUGACAUUAGCUAGUUGGUGAGGUAGAGGCUCACCAAGGCGACGAUGUCUAGGGGGUCUGAGAGGAUGAUCCCCCACACUGGUACUGAGACACGGACCAGACUCCUACGGGAGGCAGCAGUGAGGAAUAUUGCGCAAUGGAGGAAACUCUGACGCAGCCAUCCCGCGUGCAGGAUUGACGGCCCUAUGGGUUGUAAACUGCUUUUCUAUACCAAGAAACACCGAUACGUGUAUCGGUUUGCCGGUAGUAUAGGAAUAAGCAUCGGCUAACUCCGUGCCAGCAGCCGCGGUAAUACGGAGGAUGCAAGCGUUAUCCGGAAUCACUGGGUUUAAAGGGUGCGCAGGCGGAAUAGUAAGUCAGAGGUGAAAGCCCACAGCUCAACUGUGGAAUUGCCUUUGAUACUGUUAUUCUUGAGUGUAGUUGAAGUAGGCGGAAUAUAGCAUGUAGCGGUGAAAUGCAUAGAUAUGCUAUAGAACACCAAUUGCGAAGGCAGCUUGCUAAACUAUAACUGACGCUGAGGCACGAAAGCGUGGGGAGCGAACAGGAUUAGAUACCCUGGUAGUCCACGCCGUAAACUAUGAACACUCGCUGUUGGCAAUACACAGUCAGCGGCUGAGCGAAAGCGUUAAGUGUUCCACCUGGGAAGUGCGAUCGCAAGGUUGAAACUCAAAGGAAUUGACGGGGGCCCGCACAAGCGGAGGAGCAUGUGGUUUAAUUCGAUGAUACGCGAGGAACCUUACCUGGGCUUAAAUGUAUAUUGACGUACUGAGAAAUCAGUAUUUCUUCGGACAAUUUACAAGGUGCUGCAUGGUUGUCGUCAGCUCGUGCCGUGAGGUGUCGGGUUAAGUCCCAUAACGAGCGCAACCCCUACUUCUAGUUACCAGCAUUUCGGAUGGGGACUCUAGAGGAACUGCCUACGCAAGUAGAGAGGAAGGUGGGGAUGACGUCAAAUCAGCACGGCCCUUAUGUCCAGGGCUACACACGUGCUACA
rnacentral:rRNA from 1 species